rnacentral:rRNA from 1 species
UUGUAAAGCACUUUUAAUGGGGAGGAACUCCUGCCGGCGAAUACCCGGCAGACUGACAUUACCCAUAGAAAAAGCACCGGCUAACUCCGUGC